UGGGGAAUUGUUCGCAAUGGGCGCAAGCCUGACGACGCAACGCCGCGUGGAGGAUGAAGGUCUUCGGAUUGUAAACUCCUGUUGCCCGGGACGAAACGCUCAGACCUAAUACGUCGGAGCCUGACGGUACCGGGUGAGGAAGCCCCGGCUAACUCUGUGCCAGCAGCCGCGGUAAUACAGAGGGGGCAAGCGUUGUUCGGAAUUACUGGGCGUAAAGGGCGCGUAGGCGGCCUACUAAGUCAGACGUGAAAUCCCCGGGCUCAACCCGGGAACUGCGUCUGAUACUGGAAGGCUUGAAUCCGGGAGAGGGAUGUGGAAUUCCAGGUGUAGCGGUGAAAUGCGUAGAUAUCUGGAGGAACACCGGUGGCGAAGGCGGCAUCCUGGACCGGUAUUGACGCUGAGGCGCGAAAGCCAGGGGAGCAAACGGGAUUAGAUACCCACGUAGUCCCUGAGCGGGCUGGCAAGGCGCAU
rnacentral:rRNA from 1 species